rnacentral:rRNA from 1 species
GAUGAACGCUGGCGGCGUGCCUAAUACAUGCAAGUCGAGCGAACGGGCGGGAAGCUUGCUUUUCUGAUGUUAUCGGCGGACGGGUGAGUAACACGUGUAUACCCUACCUAUAAGACUGGUAUAACUUCGGGAAACCGGAUCUAAUACCGUAUAAUAUUUUGAACCACAUGGUUCAAAAGUGAAAUACGGUCGUACUGUCACUUAUAGAUGGAGCCUGGCUUCAUUAGCUAGUUGGUAAGGUAACGGCUUACCAAGGCAACGAUGCAUAGCCGACCUGAGAGGGUGAUGGGCAAAACGGGAAUUGAGAAAGGGUCAAGACUCCUAGGGGAGGCAGCAGAGGGGAAUCUCCCGAAAUGGGCGAAAGCCUGACGGAGAAACGCGGCGUGAGUGAUGAGGGUCUUCGGAUCGUAAAACUCUGUUAAUAGGGAAGAACAUAUGUGUAAGUAAAUGUGCACAUCUUGACGGUACCUAACCAGAAAGCCACGGCUAACUACGUG